GUUACCAAUUUUAGUUUGCCAGUGUUCCAGGUGACUCAUCGACGUGUCUGUGUGACGGAUGGAAGUUCUGUGGAAUAUUUUCAUAUGGUAUUGUUGUGAUUCACUGACGUGUCUUUGUGACGGGUGACAUGCACAAUUUAAAGUACCAUUUAUUUAGCCACUUAUUUAUUUGAACCAACUGUACCAUGAAGUUUAAACCAAGUAGAGCAAGCACUUAACAUUAAACUAAGAUAUAUACUAAUAUCCAGAGUUGUGAGUAUCUCAAUUCCAGAGAUACAACAUUAUACCAUGUUUAACACCAUAUUAUUGACACCAGAAUUAUAGUACAAAUGUUUGAUCUCAGUACCAGCGAUCGACACUAUAGAACUAAUGAUGAUUAUUGUGAUUAAUUUACCAUGUCGACAGAGCCAGCAACC
rnacentral:lncRNA from 1 species